AACGAACGCUGGGGCAGGCUUAACACAUGCAAGUCGAGCGCCCCGCAAGGGGAGCGGCAGACGGGUGAGUAACGCGUGGGAACGUACCCUUUGCUACGGAAUAGCUCCGGGAAACUGGAAUUAAUACCGUAUGUGCCCUACGGGGGAAAGAUUUAUCGGCAAAGGAUCGGCCCGCGUUGGAUUAGCUAGUUGGUGGGGUAAUGGCCUACCAAGGCGACGAUCCAUAGCUGGUCUGAGAGGAUGAUCAGCCACAUUGGGACUGAGACACGGCCCAAACUCCUACGGGAGGCAGCAGUGGGGAAUAUUGGACAAUGGGCGCAAGCCUGAUCCAGCCAUGCCGCGUGAGUGAUGAAGGCCUUAGGGUUGUAAAGCUCUUUCACCGGAGAAGAUAAUGACGGUAUCCGGAGAAGAAGCCCUGGCUAACUUCGUGCCAGCCGCCGCAGUAAAAC
rnacentral:rRNA from 1 species